UACGGAGGGUGCAAGCGUUAUCCGGAUUCACUGGGUUUAAAGGGUGCGUAGGUGGGUUUGUAAGUCAGUGGUGAAAUCUCCAAGCUUAACUUGGAACUGCCGUUGAUACUAUAAAAUCUUGAAUGUUGUGGAGGUGAGCGGAAUAUGUCAUGUAGCGGUGAAAUGCUUAGAUAUGAACAUAGAACACCAAUUGCGAAGGCAGCUCACUACACAAAGAUUGCAUG
rnacentral:rRNA from 1 species